rnacentral:rRNA from 1 species
AAUUUUCCGCAAUGGGCGAAAGCCUGACGGAGCAAUGCCGCGUGAGUGACGAAGGCCUUCGGGUUGUAAAGCUCUGUCUUCAGGGACGAAACAAAUGACGGUACCUGAGGAGGAAGCCACGGCUAACUACGUGCCAGCAGCCGCGGUAAUACGUAGGUGGCAAGCGUUGUCCGGAAUGACUGGGCGUAAAGGGCGUGUAGGUGGAUUGAUCAGUCGGAUGUGAAAUACCUGGGCUUAACCUGGGAACUGCAUUCGAUACGGUCAGUCUUGAGUGCAGGAGAGGGCAGUGGAAUUCCCAGUGUAGCGGUGAAAUGCGUAGAGAUUGGGAGGAACACCAGUGGCGAAGGCGGCUGCCUGGACUGUAACUGACACUGAGGCGCGAAAGCGUGGGGAGCAAAC